GACGUAAGGGGCUAGCGUUGUCCGGAAUUACUGGGCGUAAAGAGCACGUAGGCGGCCUAUCAAGCGGCGGGUGAAAUCCCGCGGCUCAACUGCGGAACUGCUUGCCGAACUGAUAGGCUCGAGCACGGGAGAGGGCAGUGGAAUUCCUGGUGUAGCGGUGGAAUGCGUCAAUAUCAGGAAGAACACCGGUGGCGAAGGCUGCUGCCUGGAACGUUGCUGACGCUGAGGUGCGAAAGCUAGGGGAGCGAACGGGAUUAGAUACCCCGGUA
rnacentral:rRNA from 1 species